UUGAACGCUGGCGGCAUGCCUUACACAUGCAAGUCGAACGCGAAAGGGGGCAACCCUGAGUAGAGUGGCGAACGGGUGAGUAAUGCAUCGGAACGUGUCCUGUAGCGGGGGACAACCCCGAGAAAUCGGGGCUAAUACCGCAUACGUCCUGAGGGAGAAAGCGGGGGAUCGCAAGACCUCGCGCGUUUGGAGCGGCCGAUAUCUGAUUAGCUAGAUGGUGGGGUAAAGGCUCACCAUGGCGACGAUCAGUAGCUGGUCUGAGAGGAUGAUCAGCCACACUGGAACUGAGACACGGUCCAGACUCCUACGGGAGGCAGCAGUGGGGAAUUUUGGACAAUGGGGGAAACCCUGAUCCAGCCAUUCCGCGUGAGUGAAGAAGGCCUUCGGGUUGUAAAGCUCUUUCGGCAGGAACGAAACGGCGGAAUCUAAUACAUUCCACUAAUGACGGUACCUGAAGAAGAAGCACCGGCUAACUACGU
rnacentral:rRNA from 1 species